CCUACGGGAGGCUGCAGUGAGGAAUGUUGGUCAAUGGGCGGAAGCCUGAACCAGCCAAGUCGCGUGAGGGAAUAAAGCCCUACGGGUCGUCAACCUCUUUUGCCGGGGAGCCAAGGCUGGGACGGGUCCCGGCCCGGAGAGUACCCGGAGAAAAAGCAUCGGCUAACUCCGUGCCAGCAGCCGCGGUCAUACGGAGGAUGCGAGCGUUAGCGGGAGUUAUUGGGUUAAAAGGUUGCGUAGGCGGGCGUUUAAGUCAGCGGUAAAAGUUCGAGGCUCAACCCCGUCCGGCCGUUGAAACUGGGGGCCUUGAGUGGGCGAGAAGAAUGCGGAAUGCGUGGUGUAGCGGUGAAAUGCAUAGAUAUCACGCAGAACCCCGAUUGCGAAGGCAGCCUUCCGGCGCCCUACUGACGCUGAGGCACGAAAGUGCGGGGAUCGAACAGGAUUAGAUACCCCAGUAGUC
rnacentral:rRNA from 1 species